CACGUAGUUAGCCGGUGCUUCUUCUCCAGGUACCGUCACCUAAAGGCUUCGUCCCUAGCGAAAGGAGUUUACAACCCGAAGGCCUUCAUCCCCACGCGGCGUCGCUGCAUCAGGCUUGCGCCCAUUGUGCAAUAUUCCCCACUGCUGCCUCCCGUAGGAGUCUGGGCCGUGUCUCAGUCCCAAUGUGGCCGUACACCCUCUCAGGCCGGCUACCCGUCGACGCCUUGGUAGGCCAUUACCCCACCAACAAGCUGAUAGGCCGCAGGCUCAUCCCACACCGCAUAAAGCUUUCCACACCACCCCUACGGUGGUGUGAAUAUUCGGUAUUAGACCCAGUUUCCCAGGCUUAUCCCAAAGUGUAGGGCAGAUCACCCACGUGUUACUCACCCGUUCGCCACUCAUCCACCAAAGCAAGCUCUGGUUUCAGCGUUCGACUUGCAUGUGUUAAGCACGCCGCCAGCGUUGUCCUGAGCCAGGAUCGAAACUCUA
rnacentral:rRNA from 1 species